UACACUUUGAGGCAUUAUUUCUAUAAUUUAUUAGAAGAGAAGAUUCUCUGACCACGUAGAGCACCAGAAGCCAUGUGGAAGACACGCAGUGUUCUCUCCUAAAAGUAAGUGUGAAGCCAACUCUCGGUGUUGGCUUCACUGCAAAUACCAUUUGCCAUUGAUGACCUUCCCUGCUUUCCUUUGGGGGAGCAAGAGGGAGAAAACACAGUCUGAGUGGG
rnacentral:snoRNA from 1 species